rnacentral:lncRNA from 1 species
GAAUAUAAAUCCUACUCAAAUAAAAUCAAAAAAAAAAAUGGUUAAAAAGGUUUGGGUUGCAAAGAGAACUAUAGGAACUAAUCUGAAAAGACCCAAAAUGACUUGGAUACCUAAAAUCUCUACUUAAUUCUCUCUUUUAGAUAUGUCUUGCAGUCAAGGAAAGCAAAAGACUUUGGUAUCUUGAUAGUGGCUAUUCAAGGCCCA